rnacentral:pre_miRNA from 1 species
CAAGUACUCCCUCCGUUCUGAAUUACUUGUCGCAAGUAUGGAUGUAUCUAGAUGUAUUUUAGUUCUAGAUACAUCCAUUUCUGCGAUGAGUAAUUUGGAACGGAGGGAGUACAUG